GAUGAAGAACGUAGCGAAAUGCGAUAAGUAAUGUGAAUUGCAGAAUUCAGUGAAUCAUCGAAUCUUUGAACGCACAUUGCGCCCAUUAGCAUUCUAGUGGGCAUGCCUGUUCGAGCGUCAUUUCAACCCUUAAGCCCUGUUGCUUAGCGUUGGGAGCCUACAGUACUGUAGCUCCCCAAAGUUAGUGGCGGAGUCGGUUUCACACUCUAGACGUAGUAAUUUUUUCUCGUCUGUAGUUGAGCCGGUCCCCUGCAGUAAAACACCCAAUUUAUCAAGGUUGACCUCGGAUCAGGUAGGAAUACCCGCUGAACUUAAGCAUAUCAAUAAGCGGAGGA
rnacentral:misc_RNA from 1 species